ensembl:snRNA U6 U6 spliceosomal RNA
GUGCUUGCUACAGCUGCACAUAUACUAAAAUAUACAGAGAAGAUUAGCAUGGCCCCUGUGAAAGGAUGACACACAAAUCCGUGAAGCGCUCCAUAUUUCU